rnacentral:rRNA from 1 species
AUGGGGGCUCCAACUCCAACGCCUCCUCCCCAACCGCCGCUGCGCCGCCACCUCCCCGCACGACGCCCCUCCACCUCGAGCAGGCCGGAGGCGGCGCCGAUGGGUCGACCCCCGCGACGGUGUUCGACCCCCGGAAGGGCAAGAAUCCGGUGCCCCUGCUGCCGCCCUGGGUCAUUCCUCCUCCUCCGAGCCCCGCCACGGUGUUUGACCCCCGGAAGGGCAAGGAUCCGGUGCCCCCGCUGCCGCCCUGGGUCAUUCCUCCUCCUCCUCCGAGCCCCGCGGGCAGCAGCAGCUCCUCCUCCUCCAGUGGCGUAG